AGAGUUUGAUCCUGGCUCAGGAUGAACGCUGGCGGUAUGCUUAACACAUGCAAGUCGAACGGUCUCUUCGGAGAUAGUGGCGGACGGGUGAGUAACGCGUGAGAAUCUGGCUUCAGGUCUGGGACAACAGUUGGAAACGACUGCUAAUACCGGAUGUGCCGUUGGGUGAAAGGCUUGCUGCCUGAAGAUGAGCUCGCGUCCGAUUAGUUAGUUGGUGUGGUAAAGGCGCACCAAGACGGCGAUCGGUAGCUGGUCUGAGAGGACGACCAGCCACACUGGAACUGAGACACGGUCCAGACUCCUACGGGAGGCAGCAGUGGGGAAUUUUCCGCAAUGGGCGAAAGCCUGACGGAGCAAUACCGCGUGAGGGAGGAAGGCUCUUGGGUUGUAAACCUCUUUUCUCAAGGAAUAAAAAAAUGAAGGUACUUGAGGAAUCAGCAUCGGCUAACUCCGUGCCAGCAGCCGCGGUAAUACGGAGGAUGCAAGCGUUAUCCGGAAUGAUUGGGCGUAAAGGGUCCGCAGGUGGUUGCUCAAGUCUGCUGUCAAAGUGUCUGGCUUAACUAGAUAAAGGCAGUGGAAACUGAGAGACUGGAGUAUGGUAGGGGUAGAGGGAAUUCCCGGUGUAGCGGUGAAAUGCGUAGAGAUCGGGAAGAACACCGGUGGCGAAAGCGCUCUGCUGGACCAUAACUGACACUGAGGGACGAAAGCUAGGGGAGCGAAUGGGAUUAGAUACCCCAGUAGUCCUAGCCGUAAACGAUGGAUACUAGGCGUUACGCGUAUCGACCCGCGUAGUGCCGGAGCCAACGCGUUAAGUAUCCCGCCUGGGGAGUACGCACGCAAGUGUGAAACUCAAGGAAUUGACGGGGGCCC
rnacentral:rRNA from 1 species